rnacentral:rRNA from 1 species
UACGUAGGGUGCGAGCGUUAAUCGGAAUUACUGGGCGUAAAGCGUGCGCAGGCGGUCUGUUAAGACCGAUGUGAAAUCCCCGGGCUUAACCUGGGAACUGCAUUGGUGACUGGCAGGCUUUGAGUGUGGCAGAGGGAGGUAGAAUUCCACGUGUAGCAGUGAAAUGCGUAGAGAUGUGGAGGAAUACCGAUGGCGAAGGCAGCCUCCUGGGCCAACACUGACGCUCAUGCACGAAAGCGUGGGGAGCAAUCAGG